GAUGAACGCUGGCGGCGUGCCUAAUACAUGCAAGUCGAGCGAACAGAUGAGGAGCUUGCUCCUCUGACGUUAGCGGCGGACGGGUGAGUAACACGUGGAUAACCUACCUAUAAGACUGGGAUAACUUCGGGAAACCGGAGCUAAUACCGGAUAAUAUAUUGAACCGCAUGGUUCAAUAGUGAAAGACGGUUUUGCUGUCACUUAUAGAUGGAUCCGCGCCGCAUUAGCUAGUUGGUAAGGUAACGGCUUACCAAGGCAACGAUGCGUAGCCGACCUGAGAGGGUGAACCGCCAAACUGGAACUUAGACACGGUCCAGACUCCUACGGGAGGGAGCAGUAGGGAAUCUUCCGCAAUGGGCGAAAGCCUGACGGAGCAACGCCGCGGGAGUGAUGAAGGUCUUCGGAUCGUAAAACUUUGUUAUUAGGGAAGAACAAAUGUGUAAGUAACUAUGCACGUCUUGACGGUACCUAAUCAGAAAGCCACGGCUAACUACGUG
rnacentral:rRNA from 1 species